GACUAAGCGUACACGGUGGAUGCCCUGGCAGUCAGAGGCGAUGAAGGACGUGCUAAUCUGCGAAAAGCGUCGGUAAGGUGAUAUGAACCGUUAUAACCGGCGAUGUCCGAAUGGGGAAACCCAGUGCAAUUCGUUGCACUAUCGUUAACUGAAUACAUAGGUUAACGAGGCGAACCGGGGGAACUGAAACAUCUAAGUACCCCGAGGAAAAGAAAUCAACCGAGAUUCCCCCAGUAGCGGCGAGCGAACGGGGAGCAGCCCAGAGUCUGAAUCAGCUUGUGUGUUAGUGGAACGGUCUGGAAAGUCCGACGGUACAGGGUGAUAGUCCCGUACACCAAAAUGCACAGGCUGUGAACUCGAAGAGUAGGGCGGGACACGUGGUAUCCUGUCUGAAUAUGGGGGGACCAUCCUCCAAGGCUAAAUACUCCUGACUGACCGAUAGUGAACCAGUACCGUGAGGGAAAGGCGAAAAGAACCCCGGCGAGGGGAGUGAAAAAGAACCUGAAACCGUGUACGUACAAGCAGUGGGAGCACCUUCGGGUGUGACUGCGUACCUUUUGUAUAAUGGGUCAGCGACUUAUAUUCUGUAGCAAGGUUAACCGUAUAGGGGAGCCGCAGGGAAACCGAGUCUUAACUGGGCGUUAAGUUGCAGGGUAUAGACCCGAAACCCGGUGAUCUAGCCAUGGGCAGGUUGAAGGUUGGGUAACACUAACUGGAGGACCGAACCGACUAAUGUUGAAAAAUUAGCGGAUGACUUGUGGCUGGGGGUGAAAGGCCAAUCAAACCGGGAGAUAGCUGGUUCUCCCCGAAAGCUAUUUAGGUAGCGCCUCGUGAAUUCAUCUUCGGGGGUAGAGCACUGUUUCGGCUAGGGGGUCAUCCCGACUUACCAACCCGAUGCAAACUACGAAUACCGAAGAAUGUUAUCACGGGAGACACACGGCGGGUGCUAACGUCCGUCGUGAAGAGGGAAACAACCCAGACCGCCAGCUAAGGUCCCAAAGUCAUGGUUAAGUGGGAAACGAUGUGGGAAGGCACAGACAGCCAGGAUGUUGGCUUAGAAGCAGCCAUCAUUUAAAGAAAGCGUAAUAGCUCACUGGUCGAGUCGGCCUGCGCGGAAGAUGUAACGGGGCUAAACCAUGCACCGAAGCUGCGGCAGCGACACUAUGUGUUGUUGGGUAGGGGAGCGUUCUGUAAGCCUGCGAAGGUGUGCUGUGAGGCAUGCUGGAGGUAUCAGAAGUGCGAAUGCUGACAUAAGUAACGAUAAAGCGGGUGAAAAGCCCGCUCGCCGGAAGACCAAGGGUUCCUGUCCAACGUUAAUCGGGGCAGGGUGAGUCGACCCCUAAGGCGAGGCCGAAAGGCGUAGUCGAUGGGAAACAGGUUAAUAUUCCUGUACUUGGUGUUACUGCGAAGGGGGGACGGAGAAGGCUAUGUUAGCCGGGCGACGGUUGUCCCGGUUUAAGCAUGUAGGCUGGUUAUCCAGGCAAAUCCGGAUAAUCAAGGCUGAGGUGUGAUGACGAGGCACCACGGUGCUGAAGUAACAAAUGCCCUGCUUCCAGGAAAAGCCUCUAAGCAUCAGGUAACAUCAAAUCGUACCCCAAACCGACACAGGUGGUCAGGUAGAGAAUACCAAGGCGCUUGAGAGAACUCGGGUGAAGGAACUAGGCAAAAUGGUGCCGUAACUUCGGGAGAAGGCACGCUGGUGUGUAGGUGAAGUCCCUGCGGAUGGAGCUGAGACCAGUCGAAGAUACCAGCUGGCUGCAACUGUUUAUUAAAAACACAGCACUGUGCAAACACGAAAGUGGACGUAUACGGUGUGACGCCUGCCCGGUGCCGGAAGGUUAAUUGAUGGGGUUAUCCGUAAGGAGAAGCUCUUGAUCGAAGCCCCGGUAAACGGCGGCCGUAACUAUAACGGUCCUAAGGUAGCGAAAUUCCUUGUCGGGUAAGUUCCGACCUGCACGAAUGGCGUAAUGAUGGCCAGGCUGUCUCCACCCGAGACUCAGUGAAAUUGAACUCGCUGUGAAGAUGCAGUGUACCCGCGGCAAGACGGAAAGACCCCGUGAACCUUUACUAUAGCUUGACACUGAACAUUGAGCCUUGAUGUGUAGGAUAGGUGGGAGGCUUUGAAGCGUGGACGCCAGUCUGCGUGGAGCCAACCUUGAAAUACCACCCUUUAAUGUUUGAUGUUCUAACGUUGGCCCCUGACCGGGGUUGCGGACAGUGUCUGGUGGGUAGUUUGACUGGGGCGGUCUCCUCCCAAAGCGUAACGGAGGAGCACGAAGGUUAGCUAAUCCUGGUCGGACAUCAGGAGGUUAGUGCAAUGGCAUAAGCUAGCUUGACUGCGAGCGUGACGGCGCGAGCAGGUGCGAAAGCAGGUCAUAGUGAUCCGGUGGUUCUGAAUGGAAGGGCCAUCGCUCAACGGAUAAAAGGUACUCCGGGGAUAACAGGCUGAUACCGCCCAAGAGUUCAUAUCGACGGCGGUGUUUGGCACCUCGAUGUCGGCUCAUCACAUCCUGGGGCUGAAGUAGGUCCCAAGGGUAUGGCUGUUCGCCAUUUAAAGUGGUACGCGAGCUGGGUUUAGAACGUCGUGAGACAGUUCGGUCCCUAUCUGCCGUGGGCGCUGGAGAAUUGAGGGGGGCUGCUCCUAGUACGAGAGGACCGGAGUGGACGCAUCACUGGUGUUCGGGUUGUCAUGCCAAUGGCACUGCCCGGUAGCUAAAUGCGGAAGAGAUAAGUGCUGAAAGCAUCUAAGCACGAAACUUGCCCCGAGAUGAGUUCUCCCUGAGACUUUAAGUCUCCUGAAGGAACGUUAAAGACGAUGACGUUGAUAGGCCGGGUGUGUAAGCGCAGCGAUGCGUUGAGCUAACCGGUACUAAUGAACCGUGAGGCUUAACCUUACAACGCCGAAG
rnacentral:rRNA from 1 species